ACAUGUACAUGUGUAUAUACUAGACAAUAGUUUAGAUGUUACAUCAGCCUCAGAUCAUACAUAACUCAUGUUUCACACCAUUGUGGACAAUUAUUAUUAUUGUAGCCUACAGCCUACAUUUAUCAUUUUACGUUUUUGUUUUGAAAGGGACAGACUUAGUUUUUGUAAAUCUGUUGGAAAGCAGUUGUCGUAAAUAUGUUGGAAAGCGUUCUCCAUUACUAGAUCUAGAGCUAUUACUGUGUGUCUUUCAGCUAUUGACGGUGGUGUUGGGGAGUGGGGAGACUGGUCGCCGUGUUCUCGGUCUUGUGGAGACGGAGAAAGAACGCGGUACCGUUUUUGUGACAACCCGGCCCCCGACCAUGGGGGGAGGGACUGUGGUGAGGGGGAUCUCACACAGACUGAGGAAUGUGGCCAGCAACUUUGUGAUUGUAUAACAACAGAGACACCCUGAGCUGGCCAGCCACAAGACGCACAAUGCACACGGGAGUGAAAAGAGACUGACCGCAAUAAAACUUCACACUUCUAAUCCA